AGAGCGAACGCUGGCGGCAUGCUUAACACAUGCAAGUCGCACGGGCAGGGGAAACCCUGUCAGUGGCGGACGGGUGAGUAACGCGUAGGUAUCUAUCCUUGGGUGGGGGACAACUGUGGGAAACUACAGCUAAUACCGCAUGAUGACCGAGGUCCAAAGGCCGCAAGGCCGCCUGGGGAGGAGCCUGCGUACGAUUAGCUAGUUGGUGGGGUAACUGCCUACCAAGGCGACGAUCGUUAGCUGGUCUGAGAGGAUGAUCAGCCACAUUGGGACUGAGACACGGCCCAAACUCCUACGGGAGGCAGCAGUGGGGAAUAUUGGACAAUGGGCGCAAGCCUGAUCCAGCAAUGCCGCGUGGGUGAAGAAGGUCUUCGGAUUGUAAAGCCCUUUCGACGGGACGAUGAUGACGGUACCCGUAGAAGAAGCCCGGCUAACUUCGCGCCAGCAGCCGC
rnacentral:rRNA from 1 species